GCCAGGUGAGGUGGCACAUGCCUGUAAUCCCAGCAACUCAGGAGGCUGAGGCAGGAGGAUCAUGAGUUCAAAGCCAAUCUCAGCAACUUAGUGAGGCCCCAAACAACUCAGAGACCCUGUCUCUA
rnacentral:sRNA from 1 species